UACGUAGGGUGCAAGCGUUAAUCGGAAUUACUGGGCGUAAAGCGUGCGCAGGCGGUUUUGUAAGACAGAGGUGAAAUCCCCGGGCUCAACCUGGGAACUGCCUUUGUGACUGCAAGGCUUGAGUGCGGCAGAGGGGGAUGGAAUUCCGCGUGUAGCAGUGAAAUGCGUAGAUAUGCGGAGGAACACCGAUGGCGAAGGCAAUCCCCUGGGCCUGCACUGACGCUCAGGCGCGACAGCGUGGGGAUCAAACAGG
rnacentral:rRNA from 1 species